UUAACACAAGUUUGUAUGCAGUUGGAACAGCUUCCGUUCGUUUGCCGCUAGGGGCGCUGUUCCAACUCCAUACAAACUAGUGAUG
rfam:Bombyx mori DNA, contig: Bm_scaf96_contig35348, strain: p50T/Dazao, build 2, whole genome shotgun sequence.